UACGGAGGGUGCAAGCGUUGUCCGGAAUCACUGGGCGUAAAGGGCGCGUAGGCGGCUCAUGAAGGCUGUGGUGAAAGUCCGGGGCUCAACCUCGGAUCGGCCGUGGCGACUCGUGGGCUGGAGCACUGUAGAGGCGGGUGGAAUUCCGGGUGUAGCGGUGGAAUGCGUAGAGAUCGGAAGAACACCAGUGGCGAAGGCGGCCCGCUGGGCAGUGGCUGACGCUGAGGAGCGAAAGCGUGGGGGAGCGA
rnacentral:rRNA from 1 species